AUGCAAGUCGAACGCGUUGGCCCAAUUGAUUGAUGGUGCUUGCACCUGAUUGAUUUUGGUCGCCAACGAGUGGCGGACGGGUGAGUAACACGUAGGUAACCUGCCCAGAAGCGGGGGACAACAUUUGGAAACAGAUGCUAAUACCGCAUAACAACGUUGUUCGCAUGAACAACGCUUAAAAGAUGGCUUCUCGCUAUCACUUCUGGAUGGACCUGCGGUGCAUUAGCUUGUUGGUGGGGUAACGGCCUACCAAGGCGAUGAUGCAUAGCCGAGUUGAGAGACUGAUCGGCCACAAUGGGACUGAGACACGGCCCAUACUCCUACGGGAGGCAGCAGUAGGGAAUCUUCCACAAUGGGCGCAAGCCUGAUGGAGCAACACCGCGUGAGUGAAGAAGGGUUUCGGCUCGUAAAGCUCUGUUGUUAAAGAAGAACACGUAUGAGAGUAACUGUUCAUACGUUGACGGUAUUUAACCAGAAAGUCACGGCUAACUACGUGCCAGCAGCCGCGGUAAUACGUAGGUGGCAAGCGUUAUCCGGAUUUAUUGGGCGUAAAGAGAGUGCAGGCGGUUUUCUAAGUCUGAUGUGAAAGCCUUCGGCUUAACCGGAGAAGUGCAUCGGAAACUGGAUAACUUGAGUGCAGAAGAGGGUAGUGGAACUCCAUGUGUAGCGGUGGAAUGCGU
rnacentral:rRNA from 2 species